rnacentral:tRNA from 1 species
GCCCGGGUGGUGAAACUGGUAGACACAGGGGACUUAAAAUCCCCCGGGAGAACCCCGUGCCGGUUCAAAUCCGGCCCCGGGCACCA